rnacentral:lncRNA from 1 species
GGAAUUUGUAGCUGAUGCUGGCACUCCAUUUAAAAAAUAAAAAGAAAACAAAAUUUGUAAAUCUCUAAUGCAGGAAUAUAAAAUCCCUGCUCUUUUCACUUUCUCACACUACAGUCGUUACGAAAGCUCCUCUGAAUGGUUCAUUCGUGAGUCCAGAAGUUUAUUAUGGAGACAAACAAUAUACCAAGGUUAAAAGUCACCAAAUAUCAGGAGAUGAGCGUAUGAAACAAUGAGGCUUGUAAUUAAAGAACAAACAAACAAAAAUACUGUAUUGUGCAAAAUGAAAGCAAGCUGUUCCCAACUACAAAUGAUUUCUUGAUGUUUCUCUUCAGCUCCUAUGCCUAAGGCCAAAUCAAUCCUUUCAAGGAAUCAUCUACAGGAAGGAUAAUGUUGCUCAAACUCUGACUCAAGGUCAGUCCAUGGGAUACUACUCGCUAGCUGCCCAAAUCCUGCCUUGCUGCUCCUCCUGCUCCGAGGCUGUGUUGCAAAGAUUGUUACUCAUGGUAUGGAUAUGGAUUGAUGGAGCCUAGAGUCUAUUUUGCAGAUAAAAAUUACAUUUCUUACUUCAUGUCAUUCUGCAUGCAGUGAAGGUUCCCUAUGCGUCCAGGAGAAGCAGAUAACAUCAGAGCUUCCCAAACCUUCACAGGGGAUUAAGAGAAGAGAAGGUUUUAGAAAGAGGUUUGUGUUGGUGGUGCCUAUUAGAAGCUAAAUAUCUGGAAUGAUUUGUGGUCUUAAAAUGGUGGGUAUAAGGUUGAACACUUAGUGCUGAACUUUGCAGGUGUUAUUUUAAUAUUCUUAGGA